rnacentral:rRNA from 1 species
UACGUAGGCAGCGAGCGUUGUUCGGAAUUACUGGGCGUAAAGAGUGUGUAGGCGGUGCUCCCAGUCUGGUGUGAAAUCUCCCGGCUUAACUGGGAGGGUGCAGCGGAAACUAGAGUGCUAGAGGGUGGGAGAGGUAAGCGGAAUUCCUGGUGUAGCGGUGAAAUGCGUAGAUAUCAGGAGGAACACCGGUGGUGUAGACGGCUUUCUGGACCGUAACUGACGCUGAGACACGAAAGCGUGGGUAGCAAACAGG